UGAGAGAUGGCCCCCAUCCAGGAAGGCGCAGGCGCGAAAAUUACCCCUUCCGGCGCGGAGAGGUAGUGACUAGUCAUAACAAAUAUAGACCCUAGUGGUUUGUAUUUGGACUGGUGAGAUGUUAUAAAUAUCUCAGUAAUCUAGAUCAGGGCAAGUCUGGUGCCAGCAGCCGCGGUAAUACCAGCCUGAUCAAGCGUAUGCUUUAGUUGCUGCGUUUAAAAAGCUCAUAGUUGGAUCUUCGAGAGCGUGAUCAUCAAAGGGCGUAGUUCGGUUACGGUCGUUCUAUUCCUGGUCACGGACUUUCAAUAUACUUGGAAGACAGUUUAUUCUUAACUGAAUAGACUGAUCGAAAACAAGUGAUAAACCUUGAAAAAAUUAGAGUGCUCAAAGCAAGCUUUGGCCUUGAAUUUUAAAGCAUGGAAUUGAGGAAGAGGACCAUUAUGGUCGUGAACCAUUUUGGUAAUGAUUAAAAGGAACAGACGGGGGCAUACGUAUUGCUCGGGGAGGGGUGAAAUCCGUAGAUCCCAGCAAGACGACCUACUGCGAAAGCAUUUGCCAAGAAUGUUUUCAUUAAUCAAGAACGAAAGUUAGAGUAUUAAAGAGGAUUAGAUACCCUCGUAAUUCUAACCUUAAACGAUACCAUCUUAAUCUUAGCCAAUGUAAUUUAUUACUUGGUUAGGAUUAAACCGGGAAACCAAAGCCAUUUGGUUCCGGGGGGAGUAUGGUUGCAAAAUCGAAACUUAAAGGAAUUGACGGAGGGGCACCACCAGGAGUGGAGCCUGCGGCUUAAUUUGACUCACACGGGGAAACCUACCAGGUCC
rnacentral:rRNA from 1 species